AUUGAACGCUGGCGGCAGGCCUAACACAUGCAAGUCGAGCGGAUGAAGGGAGCUUGCUCCUGGAUUCAGCGGCGGACGGGUGUGUAAUGCCUAGGAAUCUGCCUGGUAGUGGGGGAUAACGUCCGGAAACGGGCGCUAAUACCGCAUACGUCCUGAGGGAGAAAGUGGGGGAUCUUCGGACCUCACGCUAUCAGAUGAGCCUAGAUCGGAUUAGCUAGUUGGUGGGGUAAAGGCCUACCAAGGCGACGAUCCGUAACUGGUCUGAGAGGAUGAUCAGUCACACUGGAACUGAGACACGGUCCAGACUCCUACGGGAGGCAGCAGUGGGGAAUAUUGGACAAUGGGCGAAAGCCUGAUCCAGCCAUGCCGCGUGUGUGAAGAAGGUCUUCGGAUUGUAAAGCACUUUAAGUUGGGAGGAAGGGCAGUAAGUUAAUACCUUGCUGUUUUGACGUUACCAACAGAAUAAGCACCGGCUAACUUCGUG
rnacentral:rRNA from 1 species